rnacentral:ncRNA from 1 species
UAGAAAUAAAUGUCAGGAUGAGUAGCGUAUUUUUGCUUUGUUAGAGACCUCGGUUGGUGAAAAAGGGGAUUGCAAGGUAUGUGAAGAUGGUCCUGGAUUAAAACAUGACACUCAUGAGCUCUUAGUAAAUGAGUGGAUGGUUACCGUCCAUUACCGCGGAUAAUACCUUAGGUAUUUUUGAGGUCAUCUAUUUGAUGACAAACAAAGGUGGUACCACGAAGCCCUUCGUCCUUUGA